rnacentral:rRNA from 1 species
CAGCCGCCGCGGGAAUACGGAGGAUCCAAGCGUUAUCCGGAAUCAUUGGGUUUAAAGGGUCCGUAGGCGGUCUUGUAAGUCAGUGGUGAAAGCCCAUCGCUCAACGGUGGAACGGCCAUUGAUACUGCAGGACUUGAAUUAUUGGGAAGUAACUAGAAUAUGUAGUGUAGCGGUGAAAUGCUUAGAGAUUACAUGGAAUACCAAUUGCGAAGGCAGGUUACUACCAAUUGAUUGACGCUGAUGGACGAAAGCGUGGGUAGCGAACAGGAUUAGAUACCCGUGUAGUCCCUGUCUCUUAUAA